rnacentral:rRNA from 1 species
CGAAGUUGGAUUCGCUAGUAAUCGCGCAUCAGCCAUGGCGCGGUGAAUACGUUCCCGGGCCUUGUACACACCGCCCGUCACACCAUGGGAGUUGGGAGCACCCGAAGCCGGUGAGUUGACCGCAAGGGGACAGCCGUCGAAGGUGAGACUGAUGACUGGGGUGAAGUCGUAACAAGGUACC